UACAGAGGUCUCAAGCGUUGUUCGGAUUCAUUGGGCGUAAAGGGCGCGUAGGUGGCCCGGUCAGUUCGUGGUGAAAGCGCGGGGCUCAACCCUGCGUCGGCCAUGAAUACUGCCGCGGCUGGAGCACUGUAGAGGCAGGCGGAAUUCCGGGUGUAGCGGUGGAAUGCGUAGAGAUCCGGAAGAACACCGGUGGCGAAGGCGGCCUGCUGGGCAGUUGCUGACACUGAGGCGCGACAGCGUGGGGAGUGAACAGG
rnacentral:rRNA from 1 species